rnacentral:lncRNA from 1 species
GAGUGUGAGGAUAUAAUCCACAUUGUGGCCUUUUCUUUGUUUUUUCUUUUUCUUUUUUUAAUCAGCUGACUUUAAGAUUCAUCUUUUCUCAACUUUACAGAACAAUUGAAAGAAGAGGAAAAUAAACAUGUGCACCCCCAGAUUCGUAAUGUUGAUUCCUUCAGUUUAUUUGAACACUGAAACAAUAUGUUGUAGAAACCUUCAUUUUCCCAAAAUAAAAAUCUGAAAGAUAUAUGCACAUGAUUUUUUAGAUCAUCUAAAAGUACCCAUAAAAACCUGUCACUAGGGCCAGGUGUGAUGGCUUACACCUGUGAUCCCAGCACUUUGGGAGGCAGAGGCGGGCGGAUCACCUGAGGUCAGGNNNNNNNNNNNNNNNNNN